AAGAAAGCGUAAUAGCUCACUGGUCGAGUCGGCCUGCGCGGAAGAUGUAACGGGGCUAAACCAUGCACCGAAGCUGCGGCAGCGACGCUUAUGCGUUGUUGGGUAGGGGAGCGUUCUGUAAGCCUGUGAAGGUGGCCUGUGAGGGUUGCUGGAGGUAUCAGAAGUGCGAAUGCUGACAUAAGUAACGAUAAAGCGGGUGAAAAGCCCGCUCGCCGGAAGACCAAGGGUUCCUGUCCAACGUUAAUCGGGGCAGGGUGAGUCGACCCCUAAGGCGAGGCCGAAAGGCGUAGUCGAUGGGAAACGGGUUAAUAUUCCCGUACUUGGUGUUACUGCGAAGGGGGGACGGAGAAGGCUAUGUUGGCCGGGCGACGGUUGUCCCGGUUUAAGCGUGUAGGUGUGUGUUCCAGGUAAAUCCGGUUCACUUUAACACUGAGGCGUGAUGACGAGGCACUACGGUGCUGAAGUAACAAAUGCCCUGCUUCCAGGAAAAGCCUCUAAGCAUCAGGUAACAUCAAAUCGUACCCCAAACCGACACAGGUGGUCAGGUAGAGAAUACCAAGGCGCUUGAGAGAACUCGGGUGAAGGAACUAGGCAAAAUGGUGCCGUAACUUCGGGAGAAGGCACGCUGACACGUAGGUGAAGUGAUUUACUCACGGAGCUGAAGUCAGUCGAAGAUACCAGCUGGCUGCAACUGUUUAUUAAAAACACAGCACUGUGCAAACACGAAAGUGGACGUAUACGGUGUGACGCCUGCCCGGUGCCGGAAGGUUAAUUGAUGGGGUCAGCGCAAGCGAAGCUCCUGAUCGAAGCCCCGGUAAACGGCGGCCGUAACUAUAACGGUCCUAAGGUAGCGAAAUUCCUUGUCGGGUAAGUUCCGACCUGCACGAAUGGCGUAAUGAUGGCCAGGCUGUCUCCACCCGAGACUCAGUGAAAUUGAACUCGCUGUGAAGAUGCAGUGUACCCGCGGCAAGACGGAAAGACCCCGUGAACCUUUACUAUAGCUUGACACUGAACAUUGAGCCUUGAUGUGUAGGAUAGGUGGGAGGCUUUGAAGUGUGGACGCCAGUCUGCAUGGAGCCGACCUUGAAAUACCACCCUUUAAUGUUUGAUGUUCUAACGUGGACCCGUUACCCGGGUUGCGGACAGUGUCUGGUGGGUAGUUUGACUGGGGCGGUCUCCUCCUAAAGAGUAACGGAGGAGCACGAAGGUUGGCUAAUCCUGGUCGGACAUCAGGAGGUUAGUGCAAUGGCAUAAGCCAGCUUGACUGCGAGCGUGACGGCGCGAGCAGGUGCGAAAGCAGGUCAUAGUGAUCCGGUGGUUCUGAAUGGAAGGGCCAUCGCUCAACGGAUAAAAGGUACUCCGGGGAUAACAGGCUGAUACCGCCCAAGAGUUCAUAUCGACGGCGGUGUUUGGCACCUCGAUGUCGGCUCAUCACAUCCUGGGGCUGAAGUAGGUCCCAAGGGUAUGGCUGUUCGCCAUUUAAAGUGGUACGCGAGCUGGGUUUAGAACGUCGUGAGACAGUUCGGUCCCUAUCUGCCGUGGGCGCUGGAGAACUGAGGGGGGCUGCUCCUAGUACGAGAGGACCGGAGUGGACGCAUCACUGGUGUUCGGGUUGUCAUGCCAAUGGCACUGCCCGGUAGCUAAAUGCGGAAGAGAUAAGUGCUGAAAGCAUCUAAGCACGAAACUUGCCCCGAGAUGAGUUCUCCCUGAGACUUAAAGUCUCCUGAAGGAACGUUGAAGACGACGACGUUGAUAGGCCGGGUGUGUAAGCGCAGCGAUGCGUUGAGCUAACCGGUACUAAUGAACCGUGAGGCUUAACCCUACAACGCCGAAG
rnacentral:rRNA from 1 species